rnacentral:lncRNA from 1 species
UCCAAGCAAGGUACCUCUCUCCAAUCAAAAAGUGAAACCCGAAAAAAAUAUAGAUUUCAAGUUUUUUGAAAAAGAAGGAUUCUCUAUUGGAUCAAAGAUUAAAAAUUAAAGAUGGGAGUUUUACUGUUUAUUAAAGAAAAAUACUUAUGUUGAUUUGGUCAGAAAAUUCUACUUAAAUUUGAGUUACUACAAUGGAACAGUAAAAUCCUGGGUGAAAGGGGUUAAC